GGAACCGUCGCAUAGCGGUCGAGUGCGCGCGCUUGGAAAGCGCGUAGGCCGAAAGGUCUCGAGAGUUCGAAUCUCUCCGGUUCCGCCA
rnacentral:tRNA from 5 species